UUUUAUGGUGGCUGUGCGCAGGGCACCUUCGGGCGCGCCGGUUUCUCCAAUCUUCCGGUCUACCAACCUGUGUACAGCCGCCACCCUC
rfam:Pseudomonas batumici strain TCM B-321 Contig_14, whole genome shotgun sequence.